rnacentral:rRNA from 1 species
CGCCGCGUGAGGGAUGACGGCCUUCGGGUUGUAAACCUCUUUCAGUAGGGAAGAAGCGAAAGUGACGGUACCUGCAGAAGAAGCGCCGGCUAACUACGUGCCAGCAGCCGCGGUAAUACGUAGGGCGCAAGCGUUAUCCGGAAUUAUUGGGCGUAAAGAGCUCGUAGGCGGUUUGUCGCGUCUGCCGUGAAAGUCCGGGGCUCAACUCCGGAUCUGCGGUGGGUACGGGCAGACUAGAGUGAUGUAGGGGAGACUGGAAUUCCUGGUGUAGCGGUGAAAUGCGCAGAUAUCAGGAGGAACACCGAUGGCGAAGGCAGGUCUCUGGGCAUUAACUGACGCUGAGGAGCGAAAGCAUGGGGAGCGAACAGGAUUAGAUACCCUGGUAGUCCAUGCCGUAAACGUUGGGCACUAGGUGUGGGGGACAUUCCACGUUUUCCGCGCCGUAGCUAACGCAUUAAGUGCCCCGCCUGGGGAGUACGGCCGCAAGGCUAAAACUCAAAGGAAUUGACGGGGGCCCGCACAAGCGGCGGAGCAUGCGGAUUAAUUCGAUGCAACGCGAAGAACCUUACCAAGGCUUGACAUGAACCGGAAAUGCCUGGAAACAGGUGCCCCGCUUGCGGUC